rnacentral:lncRNA from 10 species
AGGCAGCUGUGAGGUUAAACAACUGUCACUUACCAUUUUCCACACCCACCCUGGCUGAAGACUUUCCCUGAGGAGUUUCUGGAUCAGGUUUGGUAGCCAUUGAUUUAAAAGACAGCGCCCUGGCCUGGGAGCUCAGGGUCUUGGGCUCCUGUCAGGGCUCUGUCAGUGACUUGCUUCAUGACUUUGCUUAUUCCUGAAUGAGGUGAAAUGGGCCAGCAGGUGGGAACUAUACUGGAAAACUGGGCCCUGUGAAGAGUCAGUGACUUUAAGGCUGUACAAGCAUGGUGCCAGCAUCUGCUUCUAUGAGGGCCUCAGAUGAAAACAGUGGAAGAUGGAGGGGAGGUGGUGUGUGGAGCGAUCACAUGGUGAGAGAAGGAAGUAAGAGGGCUAGCAGGAGGGGCCAGCUCUUGUCAACAACCAGUGCUCUUGGGAAUGAAGAGUGAGGACCCAUUUACUCCUGCAAGAAGGGCAUCAAGCCAUUCAUGAGGAAUCCAUCUCCACUGCCCAAACCCUCCCACCAGGCCUCACCU